rnacentral:lncRNA from 1 species
UGGGGAAGCCGAGCGCUUCCCAGCGUGCUUUGCAGAGAGCAGGGCGCCGCGCGCGGCGGCAGCCGGAGGAGAUCCGCGCGGCGCGUCUUUGCGCGGCGUCUCUCCCUCUCUGUCUGGCUUCCGCGCGCUCGCUGCUGUCUCCAGGGCCUUCUUGGUGCAGAUUCACUGUGCCGGCCGCCGGGACGGAGGCGGCGCUGGGGAGAAACCAUGGAGGUGCCCUGCUGCAAGCGGGGGCCAAGGAAGAGGCUCCCGCUCGCCACGGAGAUCCUUGAAGUGCCGUGGCAACCUACUCUCGAUUGGAUGCCUCUUUUCCCAGACUGAGUCUCUCUUAUCUUCUGGCUCAUCAAUGUAGCACUGACUUCCUUUGAGAUGUGACCUUAAAUAUUGGAGCUAUGAGUGGGAUAGCCAAAGCCGGAAAAGGAAAAUCAAGCAAGGAGCAAGGAGAGAUAGAUUUUAGAGUCACACCAAAACCAUGUUCUUAUGUCUUCCCCCAGGUGGCGCCAUAACUCCAGUUCUCCAUAUGAGUGGAUACAGAAGAAGCCCUGGUGUGUUAGUUAAAAUACUUUGCGUGUGUCAAGUUGGAGACGGAACAGCAUUACAACUAAGAAGUCUUGGCUUUCACCCUCUCCACCGCUUCCCCAUUCACAAUGUGAGCUUCAGUCUUCGUACCACUAUACCUCUGCUACCCCCCACUGCUACGAAAACAAUGCUGAUGAAAGCACAUCUUUACUCUUAGCCAGAGAUGUGGGAUUCACAUUUUUAUGGAUUGCACCUCCCACAGCAAAUGUCAUUUUUCCUCGGGCUGAUAAGAGCAAGGAACUCAGCAUCAUCAGGAAACCUACUGAUUCAUCAUUGUUCUGGACCAACACAGAGAUUUUUUUCCCUUCAGCAGAUCAACAGACUCAGCAAUUGCACUAAGUUUUGUUAUAUUGAUAUAUUUUCAUGUAUUAUAUAAAAAUAAUUACAUAUUGUAUUUUUAUANAUAUUCUACAAGGCUUAAAAUAAAAUCUUCAAACACUCAAAAAGAACCA